GUAUUGAAGGUGAUGCCUGCCCGGUGACAUAGUUCAACGGCCGCGGUAUCCUAACCGUGCAAAGGUAGCGCAAUCAAUUGUCCCAUAAAUCGAGACCCGUAUGAAUGGCUAAACGAGGUCUUAACUGUCUCUUACAGGUAAUCGGUGAAAUUGAUCUCCCUGUUCAAAAGCAGGGAUAAACCCAUAAGACGAGAAGACCCUGUGGAACUUUAAAAGCAGCAGCCACCCCAAAUUACAUCCACACCCACCUGGGCUCACUUAUUUCAAGGGACUACUGGCUUGCACUUUUUCGGUUGGGGCGACCUUGGAGCAAAACAAAACCUCCAAAUCUUGGACCUUACAUCUAGACUAAGAGCGACCACUCAACGUGCUAAUAGCAACCAGACCCAAUAUAAUUGAUCAAUGGACCAAGCUACCCCAGGGAUAACAGCGCAAUCUCCUCCAAGAGUCCAUAUCGACGGGGAGGUUUACGACCUCGAUGUUGGAUCAGGACAUCCUAGUGGUGCAGCCGCUACUAAGGGUUCG
rnacentral:rRNA from 1 species